rnacentral:lncRNA from 1 species
UAACCUAGGGUGUGAGGCGGCAGGUAACCUAGGGUGUGAGGCGGCAGGUAACCUAGGGUGUGAGGCGGCAGGUAACCUAGGGUGUGAGGCGGCAGGUAGCCUAGGGUGUGUGGAGGCAGGUAACCUAGGGUGUGAGGCGGCAGUGGGCUAGAGUGUGAGGCGGCAGGUAACCUAGGGUGUGAGGAGGCAGGUAACCUAGGGUGUGAGGCGGCAGGUAACCUAGGGUGUGAGGAGGCAGGUAACCUAGGGUGUAAGGCGGCAGGUAGCCUAGGCGGCAGGUAGCCUAGGGUGUGAGGCGGCAGGUAACCUAGGGUGUGAGGCCGCAGGUAACCUAGGGUGUGAGGCGGCAGGUAGCCUAGGGUGUGAGGCGGCAGGUAGCCUAGGGUGUAUGGCGGCAGGUAGCCUAGGGUGUGUGGAGGCAGGUAACCUAGGGUAUGAGGCGGCAGGUAGGCUAGGGUGUGAGGCGGCAGGUAACCUAGGGUAUGAGGCGGCAGGUAGGCUAGGGUAUGAGGCGGCAGGUAGGCUAGGGUGUGAGGCGGCAGGUAGGCUAGGGUGUGAGGCGGCAGGUAACCUAGGGUAUGAGGCGGCAGGUAGGCUAGGGUGUGAGGCGGCAGGUAACCUAGGGUAUGAGGCGGCAGGUAGGCUAGGGUGUGAGGCGGCAGGUAACCUAGUGGUUAAGAGCGUCGGGGGAAAAAAACAAAA